ensembl:lncRNA
AUUUUUAUUAUUAUUAUUAGGGGUUCGAGCACGAAGUGCUGAAACCCUAUUGUAAUUGUUAGGAUUUUUAUUAUUAUUAUUAUUAUUAUUAUUAUUAUUAUUAUUAUUAUUAUUAUUAUUCUUCCGCCUUAAAACUGAACGGGCAGCCCAAACCGUAAGGCCUAGAGAGCUGAAACUUGGUCAAAAGGUAGUAGUCUUGCUCGCUACUCAGGCGCAAAGAACUGGCCCAAUCGGCCUAACGGGGGCGCUACAGCGCAAAAAACUAAAUUUUCAGACAUUUUUGGCCGUAGCUUGUAAACCGUUUGUCGUAGACUCAAAAACAUGGCAUCGUUGCAAUCCUUGGGUUAGCCCGAACAAAAUUGCUCUGCUGGUUUUUUCGCUCUACGGCGCAUCGUUUCCUCGCAAAAUUGAGUUAUAUCUGAAACCUACUUUUGCGAACUAGUCCUAGGUUUUUCACCCGAUCAGAACCAAACCACUGCAGAAAUAUUCUCUGGACACUCAAUAUCAAUAAUUAUCGAAAAAAAGUUGAAAUUUCGAUUCUUACGCGAAACAGUACACCAAGAAGCGUCUAUGCUAACGUUAGCCAAAUGUUAUUUUAGCUAUAACUCUUGAACGGAAUGACAUAUCUUCAUCAAACUCGGGACAAAUGUGUAUAAGCUCAAUCUUUGGUCAAAUAAAAAAAAAUGCGCACCUCUACCACUUGGGGGCGCUAUAAGACAGAAAAAACACAUAAAUGGCUAUAACUAUUCAACCAUUAGUCCGAUCGACUUGAAAAUUGGAAUGCAGUUUCUUUGUCUGAAGGGGCACAAUCGUCUAUGAGGACAUUCGCGUAUCUCAAAAAACAUGGCCGCCAUUGGCCAAUUAAUUUUAAGCAACUAUUAGACAAGGUUAACGGAGGUCAAUCGGAACGAAACUUGGUGGGCAUGUUCGACUCAUGGCCCUAAAGGUCUGUAAGAAUUUUGAAAGAAAUCGGCCACUAGUUGGCGCUAACGAGUUUUUUGGCUCUGUAAUCACAUGGUGUUUCACAUAUCCACGAAAUAUGGACAUCAUUUGAUAGAUCUCCUCAUAAUGCACAACUUUGCCUCAAGAACCAUUACUGUCAAUCAAAUUGUUCAUUAAUUAUUCACAAAUAUGUUAAAAACAUACUUUUGCGAACUAGUCCUAGGUUUUUCGCCCAAUCAGAACCAAACCAC